rnacentral:rRNA from 1 species
GACGAACGCUGGCGGCGUGCUUAACACAUGCAAGUCGAACGGAAAGGCCCUGCUUUUGUGGGGUGCUCGAGUGGCGAACGGGUGAGUAACACGUGAGUAACCUGCCCUUGACUUUGGGAUAACUUCAGGAAACUGGGGCUAAUACCGGAUAGGAGCUCCUGCUGCAUGGUGGGGGUUGGAAAGUUUCGGCGGUUGGGGAUGGACUCGCGGCUUAUCAGCUUGUUGGUGGGGUAGUGGCUUACCAAGGCUUUGACGGGUAGCCGGCCUGAGAGGGUGCCCGGCCACAUUGGGACUGAGAUACGGCCCAGACUCCUACGGGAGGCAGCAGUGGGAAAUAUUGCACAAUGGGCGGAAGCCUGAUGCAGCAACGCCGCGUGCGGGAUGACGGCCUGCGGGUUGUAAACCGCUUUCGCCUGUGACGAAGCGUGAGUGACGGUAAUGGGUAAAGAAGCACCGGCUAACUACGUG